rnacentral:rRNA from 1 species
CGAAACCGAUAGCGAACAAGUACCGUGAGGGAAAGUUGAAAAGUACUCUGAAUAGAGAGUUAAAUAGUACGUGAAACCGCUUAGGGGUUAAGCCCGAUGAACCCGAAUAUCUGAUGUGAGAAAUUCAAUACAAUUCAAAUUCAUAUUUUUAUAUUGGAUUUGUAUAGUAUGCACUUUUCUCAUAGUAAGACAUUGUAAUCCAUUGAUAUUAUAUCUCGAUUUCGAGAUGAUUUAACAUACGGACAAAAUGUUUAUGAUUAUUCUAUCAGUGAUAUGUUUACAUGUCAUAUGAAUAAAAUCGUUUUGUACCUGUUUAAAUAGUCGAUGGAUUUUUCAUUGAAAUCAUGCUUGCAAUUUAUUUUGCGUUUCGUAUCAUUAAUUUUUAAUUGUUGAUAGCAGAAAUGGCAUGUAUUCGAUUAACAAUGCGAUAGAUUUGGGAUACUUUCAGGACCCGUCUUGA